AUUAAUAUUUAGUUUAAAUUUUCCUUUUAAUGAUUUUUAUGAUCUAAACACGCCCCCCAUGGAAACCAGCCUAGAGUUGAUGGGGCUAGCGUGUUCUUCUUUCUGUUAAUUUUAAAUAAAGUAUUACCUACCUACCUACCUACCUUACCUUCAAGUGAUGCAAACCCUUACCAUACCUUCCAUUGCCCACCUGGUAGUGAUAGCUGGUGUCGUUACCAACAAGACAAAGCAAAUGGGACAAAAUUAUACAAACAUGGUCCUGGUCUUCCAAAGAACAUCAUUAAGCUGGUUAAGCCUGUGUACCAGAGACUUACUGAUAACAGUCUUUUGGAAAAGUGCUUGCACGGGAAAACGCAAAAUCAGAACGAGGCUCUGAACGUUCUAAUUUGGCAAAGAAUUCCCAAGGAAGUCUUUGUUCACAGAGACUGCCUAGAGUUUGGGGUGUAUGAUGCUGUCUUACACUUCAAUAUUGGUUGCAAUGCAAUUGUUGGACUUUUCAAGUCAAUGAAUAUUCCUGCGGGCAAGUACACUGAAUUCGCCUGUCAUGCUGAAGACAAGUCUCGUGUAUCGCUCGCACAAUAUAAAAGCACGCCCAAAGCUAAAAAGAGAAGAAAGGUGAUCAGAGGACUAAAAAAGAAAAAGGAAGACAAGAACCAAGAAGCAGAGGGACUAAAAUAUGGAGCAGGAGAGUUCUAGUGAUUUCUGAAGCUAAGCAGAGGUAUAUGUAGCUGUGAAACUUGGUAGACAAACUUUAAACUGUGUUUUCUCUAAUAUCAAUUUUCGGGUAUUUUGUAAACUCGUACAUUGAUAACUCAAAAAGUAUCUGGUAGAUUUUACUCAAAUUUUCAGUGAAUAUUCCACAUAUGUAAAGCUAUGCAAUGAACUAGAAUGGUGGGAUAUGCUUCACUAGAUUUUGAAUUAUUUUGAAAUAUGUAUUCUGAUACGGAGUAUGUAUACUACUGACUAAAUAAAUUAAUAACCACUUCUCUGAUCAAAAAGCUUUUAGUUCAUUGCAUAGACAUAUUAAAGAUGAUUUUAUCCCCAAAGUUUCAUAGACAUUGCUUAAAAACUAAUCAAGUUAUGGUUGUUGGCGUUUUGGCUCAAAUUACGGGUUUGGUCACUUUAUCCUGGUAACCAUGGCAACAGAAAAUGUCAUUACCUCAAAAAUAUUCAUACUCUUUUGUGCUUAUAACAUCCAUGCAAUUUAAAUUUUGUUGAAAGCUUUUUAAAAAAAAAAAAAAAUUUGGGGGUCAUUCCAUUAAAUUAAGGCACUGAAAUUAUCAUUAUAAAUAUUUUUUAAUUUAUUUAAUUGUACGUACAAAAAGUAUGUUUAUCUAAGGAUCAUAAAGCCAAAUUAACUUUUUUUCCCUAUAUGUAAACUGUCUAAAUAGAAUCCCUACAACCUCUAGUAGUUUGACCAAAUCAUUACAUGGUGUAGCCAGACAUCCAUGACUGUGUGCUUUAAAGUAUUCAUUUUCCAAACCAGGACUGAUCAUAUGUUCUAAAAUUAUUUGAAGCCGUCGUCAUUUGCUUUGUUUUUGGACUUUUUCUUCAGAUUUGACAACACAUAACAUGCUAUGUAGGACAGGGUACCGUGUUCAUUCUCAUUAAGUUCAGAAGAAAUCCCAGCAUGUCCACUGCAUGUAGUAAGACCUUUCGACAAUGUCACUAAAUGGUCUGCUCUUGAAAUCAUUAUUAGACAACCAUGUAAACAAUUUGUCUCGGCCUCCACAGAUAACUUUUCAUUCCCUGAUUCUCAGGCCAUCAAACAAAUAACUGCAUGUUUCAGGAGUCACAAUCUCACACUUAGAGCUAUUCGUGUAGGAGGCCGGGA